GUGAGGAAUAUUGGGCAAUGGUCGGAAGACUGACCCAGCCAUGCCGCGUGCAGGAAGACGGCCCUCUGGGUUGUAAACUGCUUUUAUCUGGGAAGAAAAAGGCCAUGCGUGGCAAAUUGCCGGUACCAGAUGAAUAAGCACCGGCUAACUCCGUGCCAGCAGCCGCGGUAAUACGGAGGGUGCGAGCGUUGUCCGGAUUUAUUGGGUUUAAAGGGUGCGUAGGCGGCUGAUUAAGUCAGCGGUGAAAGACUUCGGCUUAACCGGAGCAGUGCCGUUGAUACUGGUUGGCUUGAGUGUCGGAGGGGUACAUGGAAUUGAUGGUGUAGCGGUGAAAUGCAUAGAUACCAUCAGGAACACCGAUAGCGAAGGCAUUGUACUGGCCGACAACUGACGCUGAUGCACGAAAGUGUGGGGAUCGAACAGGAUUAGAAACCCCGGUAGUCC
rnacentral:rRNA from 1 species